rnacentral:rRNA from 1 species
GGUUAAGCGACUAAGCGUACACGGUGGAUGCCCUGGCAGUCAGAGGCGAUGAAGGGCGUGCUAAUCUGCGAUAAGCGCCGGUAAGGUGAUAUGAACCGUUAUAACCGGCGAUACCCGAAUGGGGAAACCCAGUGUGAUCGUCACACUAUCAUUAACUGAAUCCAUAGGUUAAUGAGGCGAACCGGGGGAACUGAAACAUCUAAGUACCCCGAGGAAAAGAAAUCAACCGAGAUUCCCCCAGUAGCGGCGAGCGAACGGGGAGGAGCCCAGAGCCUGAAUCAGCAUGUGUGUUAGUGGAAGCGUCUGGAAAGGCGCGCGAUACAGGGUGACAGCCCCGUACACAAAAGCGCAUGUGCUGUGAGCUCGAUGAGUAGGGCGGGACACGUGGUAUCCUGUCUGAAUAUGGGGGGACCAUCCUCCAAGGCUAAAUACUCCUGACUGACCGAUAGUGAACCAGUACCGUGAGGGAAAGGCGAAAAGAACCCCGGCGAGGGGAGUGAAAAAGAACCUGAAACCGUGUACGUACAAGCAGUGGGAGCCCCACCACCGAAGCAUUCUCUGGUGUUGAAGGCCCUGCAGAGCAGCAUCGCGGUGGCGGAGCGUCGUUUGCGACGCCCAACACACAAAACAAGCGGUGAGUGCUUUGGGGUGGGGUGACUGCGUACCUUUUGUAUAAUGGGUCAGCGACUUAUAUUCUGUAGCAAGGUUAACCGUAUAGGGGAGCCGGAGGGAAACCGAGUCUUAAUUGGGCGUUAAGUUGCAGGGUAUAGACCCGAAACCCGGUGAUCUAGCCAUGGGCAGGUUGAAGGUUGGGUAACACUAACUGGAGGACCGAACCGACUAAUGUUGAAAAAUUAGCGGAUGACCUGUGGCUGGGGGUGAAAGGCCAAUCAAACCGGGAGAUAGCUGGUUCUCCCCGAAAGCUAUUUAGGUAGCGCCUCGUGAAUUCAUCUCCGGGGGUAGAGCACUGUUUCGGCUAGGGGGCCAUCCCGGCUUACCAACCCGAUGCAAACUGCGAAUACCGGAGAAUGUUAUCACGGGAGACACACGGCGGGUGCUAACGUCCGUCGUGAAGAGGGAAACAACCCAGACCGCCAGCUAAGGUCCCAAAGUCAUGGUUAAGUGGGAAACGAUGUGGGAAGGCCCAGACAGCCAGGAUGUUGGCUUAGAAGCAGCCAUCAUUUAAAGAAAGCGUAAUAGCUCACUGGUCGAGUCGGCCUGCGCGGAAGAUGUAACGGGGCUAAACCAUGCACCGAAGCUGCGGCAGCGAACGUAUCACUUAAAGCGAUUCAGCGGGUUACGAUUGACGGAGCGAAGCGACGUCAAAGCGUAUACAAAGUCGAGUCGGUUUAAGGAUACGUUCGUUGGGUAGGGGAGCGUUCUGUAAGCCUGUGAAGGUGUGUCGUGAGGCAUGCUGGAGGUAUCAGAAGUGCGAAUGCUGACAUAAGUAACGAUAAAGCGGGUGAAAAGCCCGCUCGCCGGAAGACCAAGGGUUCCUGUCCAACGUUAAUCGGGGCAGGGUGAGUCGACCCCUAAGGCGAGGCCGAAAGGCGUAGUCGAUGGGAAACGGGUUAAUAUUCCCGUACUUGGUGUUACUGCGAAGGGGGGACGGAGAAGGCUAUGUUGGCCGGGCGACGGUUGUCCCGGUUUAAGCGUGUAGGUGUGUGUUCCAGGUAAAUCCGGUUCACUUUAACACUGAGGCGUGACGACGAGGCACUACGGUGCUGAAGCAACAAAUGCCCUGCUUCCAGGAAAAGCCUCUAAGCAUCAGGUAACAUCAAAUCGUACCCCAAACCGACACAGGUGGUCAGGUAGAGAAUACCAAGGCGCUUGAGAGAACUCGGGUGAAGGAACUAGGCAAAAUGGUGCCGUAACUUCGGGAGAAGGCACGCUGACACGUAGGUGAAGUGAUUUACUCACGGAGCUGAAGUCAGUCGAAGAUACCAGCUGGCUGCAACUGUUUAUUAAAAACACAGCACUGUGCAAACACGAAAGUGGACGUAUACGGUGUGACGCCUGCCCGGUGCCGGAAGGUUAAUUGAUGGGGUCAGCGCAAGCGAAGCUCCUGAUCGAAGCCCCGGUAAACGGCGGCCGUAACUAUAACGGUCCUAAGGUAGCGAAAUUCCUUGUCGGGUAAGUUCCGACCUGCACGAAUGGCGUAAUGAUGGCCAGGCUGUCUCCACCCGAGACUCAGUGAAAUUGAACUCGCUGUGAAGAUGCAGUGUACCCGCGGCAAGACGGAAAGACCCCGUGAACCUUUACUAUAGCUUGACACUGAACAUUGAGCCUUGAUGUGUAGGAUAGGUGGGAGGCUUUGAAGCGUGGACGCCAGUCUGCGUGGAGCCGACCUUGAAAUACCACCCUUUAAUGUUUGAUGUUCUAACGUGGACCCGUUACCCGGGUUGCGGACAGUGUCUGGUGGGUAGUUUGACUGGGGCGGUCUCCUCCUAAAGAGUAACGGAGGAGCACGAAGGUUGGCUAAUCCUGGUCGGACAUCAGGAGGUUAGUGCAAUGGCAUAAGCCAGCUUGACUGUGAGCGUGACGGCGCGAGCAGGUGCGAAAGCAGGUCAUAGUGAUCCGGUGGUUCUGAAUGGAAGGGCCAUCGCUCAACGGAUAAAAGGUACUCCGGGGAUAACAGGCUGAUACCGCCCAAGAGUUCAUAUCGACGGCGGUGUUUGGCACCUCGAUGUCGGCUCAUCACAUCCUGGGGCUGAAGUAGGUCCCAAGGGUAUGGCUGUUCGCCAUUUAAAGUGGUACGCGAGCUGGGUUUAGAACGUCGUGAGACAGUUCGGUCCCUAUCUGCCGUGGGCGCUGGAGAACUGAGGGGGGCUGCUCCUAGUACGAGAGGACCGGAGUGGACGCAUCACUGGUGUUCGGGUUGUCAUGCCAAUGGCACUGCCCGGUAGCUAAAUGCGGAAGAGAUAAGUGCUGAAAGCAUCUAAGCACGAAACUUGCCCCGAGAUGAGUUCUCCCUGAGACUUUAAGUCUCCUGAAGGAACGUUGAAGACGACGACGUUGAUAGGCCGGGUGUGUAAGCGCAGCGAUGCGUUGAGCUAACCGGUACUAAUGAACCGUGAGGCUUAACCUU